GUACCAUAACCGACACAGGUGGGUAAGUAGAGUAUACUAAGGGGCGCGAGAUAACUCUCUCUAAGGAACUCGGCAAAAUAACUCCGUAACUUCGGGAGAAGGAGUGCCUUAUUCUUAAGGUUGCAAUAACAAGAUCCAAGCAACUGUUUAUCAAAAACACAGGUCUCCGCUAAGUCGUAAGACGAUGUAUGGGGGCUGACGCCUGCCCAGUGCCAGAAGGUUAAAGAAGUCGGUUAGCAAUAGCAAAGCUGGUAACUGAAGCCCUGGUGAACGGCGGCCGUAACAAUAACGGUCCUAAGGUAGCGAAAUUCCUUGUCGGGUAAGUUCCGACCCGCACGAAAGGCGUAAUGAUUUGGAUGCUGUCUCGGAGAGGGGCUCGGUGAAAUAGACUUGUCUGUGAAGAUGCGGACUACCUGCACCAGGACAGAAAGACCCUAUGAAGCUUUACUGUAACUUGAAAUUGAAAUUGGACUUUAUUCGCGCAGUAUAGGUGGGAGGCGUUGAUUAUAAUCUUGUGGGAUUAUUGGAGCCAUCAGUGAGAUACCACUCUUGUAAUGUUAGAUUUCUAACUUUGAAUCAUUAUCUGGUCAAAGGACAGUUUCAGGCGGGCAGUUUGACUGGGGCGGUCGCCUCCUAAACGGUAACGGAGGCGUACAAAGGCUUCCUCUGAACGGUUAGAAAUCGUAUCUAGAGUGUAAAGGCAUAAGGAAGCUUGACUGUGAGACCUACAAGUCGAGCAGGGACGAAAGUCGGUCUUAGUGAUCUGACGGUACUGAGUGGAAGGGCCGUCACUCAACGGAUAAAAGUUACUCUAGGAUAACAGACUGAUCUCCCCCAAGAGUUCACAUCGACGGGGAGGUUUGGCACCUCGAUGUCGGCUCAUCGCAUCCUGGGGCGGUAGUACGUCCCAAGGGUUGGGCUGUUCGCCCAUGAAAGCGGUACGCGAGCUGGGUUCAGAGCGUCGUGAGACAGUUCGGUCCAUAUCCGGUGUAGGCGCUAGAAUAUUGAGAGGAGCCUUCUUUAGUACGAGAGGACCGAGAAGGACAUACCUCUGGUGUGCCAGUUAUCGUGCCAACGGUAAACGCUGGGUAGCUAUGUAUGGAGUGGAUAACCGCUGAAAGCAUCUAAGUGGGAAGCCCACCUCAAGAUAAGUAUUCUCAUCACGUAAGUGAGUAAGGUCACGGUAAGACUAACCGUUUGAUAGGCAUUAAGUGUAAGUACAGUAAUGUAUGUGCUGAGAUGUCCUAAUAGACCGAGGACUUGAAU
rnacentral:rRNA from 1 species